GUCAGGGUGAGUCUCUGUAGAGCUUCCUGGUGGUGGUAGAGGAUGACGACAGGGUGAGUCUCUGUAGAGGAUGACGUCAGGGUUAGUCUCUGUAGAGGAUGACGUCAGGGUGAGUCUCUGUAGAGGAUGACGUCAGGGUGAGUCUCUGUAGAGGAUGAGGUCGGGGUGAGUCUCUGUAGAGGAUGAGGUCGGGGUGAGUCUCUGUAGAGGAUGAGGUCGGGGUGAGUCUCUGUAGAGGAUGAGGUCGGGGUGAGUCUCUGUAGAGGAUGAGGUCGGGGUGAGUCUCUGUAGAGGAUGAGGUCGGGGUGAGUCUCUGUAGAGGAUGAGGUCAGGGUGAGUCUCUGUAGAGGAUGACGUCGGGGUGAGUCUCUGUAGAGCUUCCUGGUGGUGGUAGAGGAUGACAGCUGGGUGAGUCGCUGUAGAGGAUGACGUCAGGGUGAGUCUCUGUAGAGGAUGACGUCAGGGUGAGUCUCUGUAGAGGAUGACGUCAGGGUGAGUCUCUGUAGAGGAUGACGUCAGGGUGAGUCUCUGUGGAGGAUGACGUCAGGGUGAGUCUCUGUGGAGGAUGACGUCAGGGUGAGUCUCUGUGGAGGAUGACGUCAGGGUGAGUCUCUGUAGAGGAUGACGUCAGGGUGAGUCUCUGUAGAGGAUGACGUCAGGGUGAGUCUCUGUAGAGGAUGACGUCAGGGUGAGUCUCUGUAGAGGAUGACGUCAGGGUGAGUCUCUGUAGAGGAUGACGUCAGGGUGAGUCUCUGUAGAGGAUGACGUCAGGGUGAGUCUCUGUAGAGGAUGACGUCAGGGUGAGUCUCUGUAGAGCUUCCUGGUGGUGGUAGAGGAUGACGACAGGGUGAGUCUCUGUAGAGGAUGACGUCGGGGUGAGUCUCUGUAGAGGAUGACGUCGGGGUGAGUCUCUGUAGAGGAUGACGUCGGGGUGAGUCUCUGUAGAGGAUGACGUCGGGGUGAGUCUCUGUAGAGGAUGACGUCGGGGUGAGUCUCUGUAGAGGAUGACGUCGGGGUGAGUCUCUGUAGAGCUUCCUGGUGGUGGUAGAGGAUGACGGCUGGGUGAGUCUCUGUAGAGGAUGACGUCAGGGUGAGUCUCUGUAGAGCUUCCUGGUGGGGGUAGAGGAUGACGUCAGGGUGAGUCUCUGUAGAGGAUGACGUUGGGGUGAGUCUCUGUAGAGGAUGACGUUGGGGUGAGUCUCUGUAGAGGAUGACUUCGGGGUGAGUCUCUGUAGAGGAUGACUUCGGGGUGAGUCUCUGUAGAGGAUGACGUCGGGGUGAGUCUCUGUAGAGGAUGACGUCAGGGUGAGUCUCUGUAGAGCUUCCUGGUGGUGGUAGAGGAUGACGUCAGGGUGAGUCUCUGUAGAGGAUGACGUCAGGGUGAGUCUCUGUAGAGCUUCCUGGUGGUGGUAGUUGAUGACGACAGGGUGAGUCUCUGUAGUUGAUGACGACAGGGUGAGUCUCUGUAGAGGAUGACGUCGGAGUGAGUCUCUGUAGAGGAUGAGGUCGGGGUGAGUCUCUGUAGAGGAUGAGGUCGGGGUGAGUCUCUGUAGAGGAUGAGGUCGGGGUGAGUCUCUGUAGAGGAUGAGGUCGGGGUGAGUCUCUGUAGAGGAUGAGGUCAGGGUCAGUCUCUGUAGAGGAUGACGUCGGGGUGAGUCUCUGUAGAGCUUCCUGGUGGUGGUAGAGGAUGACAGCUGGGUGAGUCGCUGUAGAGGAUGACGUCAGGGUGAGUCUCUGUAGAGGAUGACGUCAGGGUGAGUCUCUGUAGAGGAUGACGUCAGGGUGAGUCUCUGUAGAGGAUGACGUCAGGGUGAGUCUCUGUGGAGGAUGACGUCAGGGUGAGUCUCUGUGGAGGAUGACGUCAGGGUGAGUCUUUGUAGAGGAUGACGUCAGGGUGAGUCUCUGUAGAGGAUGACGUCAGGGUGAGUCUCUGUAGAGGAUGACGUCAGGGUGAGUCUCUGUAGAGGAUGACGUCAGGGUGAGUCUCUGUAGAGGAUGACGUCAGGGUGAGUCUCUGUAGAGGAUGACGUCAGGGUGAGUCUCUGUAGAGCUUCCUGGUGGUGGUAGAGGAUGACGACAGGGUGAGUCUCUGUAGAGGAUGACGUCGGGGUGAGUCUCUGUAGAGGAUGACGUCGGGGUGAGUCUCUGUAGAGGAUGACGUCGGGGUGAGUCUCUGUAGAGGAUGACGUCGGGGUGAGUCUCUGUAGAGGAUGACGUCAGGGUGAGUCUCUGUAGAGCUUCCUGGUGGUGGUAGAGGAUGACGACAGGGUGAGUCUCUGUAGAGGAUGAGGUCGGGGUGAGUCUCUGUAGAGGAUGAGGUCAGGGUGAGUCUCUGUAGAGGAUGAGGUCAGGGUGAGUCUCUGUAGAGGAUGACGUCAGGGUGAGUCUCUGUAGAGCUCCCUGGUGGUGGUAGAGGAUGACGUCCGGGUGAGUCUCUGUAGAGGAUGACGUCAGGGUGAGUCUCUGUAGAGGAUGACGUCAGGGUGAGUCUCUGUAGAGGAUGACGUCAGGGUGAGUCUCUGUAGAGGAUGACGUCAUGGUGAGUCUCUGUAGAGGAUGACGUCAGGGUGAGUCUCUGUAGAGCUUCCUGGUGGUGGUAGAGGAUGACGACAGGGUGAGUCUCUGUAGAGCUUCCUGGUGGUGGUAGAGGAUGACGACAGGGUGAGUCUCUGUAGAGAUUGAGGUCGGGGUGAGUCUCUGUAGAGGAUGAGGUCGGGGUGAGUCUCUGUAGAGGAUGAGGUCGGGGUGAGUCUCUGUAGAGGAUGACGUCGGGGUGAGUCUCUGUAGAGGAUGACGUCGGGGUGAGUCUCUGUAGAGGAUGACGUCGGGGUGAGUCUCUGUAGAGGAUGACGUUGGGGUGAGUCUCUGUAGAGCUUCCUGGUGGUGGUAGAGGAUGACGGCUGGGUGAGUCUCUGUAGAGGAUGACGUCAGGGUGAGUCUCUGUAGAGCUUCCUGGUGGGGGUAGAGGAUGACGUCAGGGUGAGUCUCUGUAGAGGAUGACAUUGGGGUGAGUCUCUGUAGAGGAUGACGUUGGGGUGAGUCUCUGUAGAGGAUGACUUCGGGGUGAGUCUCUGUAGAGGAUGACGUCGGGGUGAGUCUCUGUAGAGGAUGACGUCAGGGUGAGUCUCUGUAGAGGAUGACGUCAGGGUGAGUCUCUGUAGAGGAUGACGUCAGGGUGAGUCUCUGUAGAGCUUCCUGGUGGUGGUAGAGGAUGACGACAGGGUGAGUCUCUGUAGAGGAUGACGUCGGGGUGAGUCUCUGUAGAGGAUGACGUCGGGGUGAGUCUCUGUAGAGGAUGACGUCGGGGUGAGUCUCUGUAGAGGAUGACGUCAGGGUGAGUCUCUGUAGAGCUUCCUGGUGGUGGUAGAGGAUGACGACAGGGUGAGUCUCUGUAGAGGAUGAGGUCGGGGUGAGUCUCUGUAGAGGAUGAGGUCGGGGUGAGUCUCUGUAGAGGAUGAGGUCGGGGUGAGUCUCUGUAGAGGAUGAGGUCAGGGUGAGUCUCUGUAGAGCUUCCUGGAGGUGGUAGAGGAUGACGUCAGGGUGAGUCUCUGUAGAGGAUGAGGUCAGGGUGAGUCUCUGUAGAGGAUGAGGUCAGGGUGAGUCUCUGUAGAGGAUGACGUCAGGGUGAGUCUCUGUAGAGGAUGACGUCAGGGUGAGUCUCUGUAGAGCUUCCUGGUGGUGGUAGAGGAUGACGACAGG
rnacentral:lncRNA from 1 species